AGGUCCCAGUGAGUGACAAUAAGGCCACACCAACCCUCCUGCAGACGAAAGACUCAGCGUGGCACCAGCCGGCAUCUCUUCAGGAUCUCUACAAUAUCUUGGCUGGGCUCGAGGAAGGGAAAACUUACCGCUUCGUCUGUGGUGACACUGCCCAAGCCGUGUACUACAGCGGUUCCUACGACGCCUACAUCUACACUCGCCACAUCCCCGAACUCUCCCGCGUGGCACA